AUCAUUUUUUGCUCUAUAUUUUACUUAACAAGUUGAAGAUGAAGUUAAAGUUAUGAUUUUCAAAGGACAAUAUUAAUAUAAUAAAAGUUUUAUUAAACAUAAUAUAACUUCUUGCAUGAGUUAAAAUAGAACUUUUACAAGAGGUAAAAUUUCCGACUUUUAUGUCAAACUCUUUUUAAAGGUAUAAGCUUUUUAUGAAAAACCACAUAAUUAAAUUUAAAAUAAAAAGUUGUUAAGGUUUUAGAAGUCAAUUCAAAUAGAAUUCUCAACCAAGGGGAUGUUUGACAAAACUUAAUACUUAUUACUUAAUGACUUAAAUUAACUUUAAGUUAAAUUAUACUUAAAUUGUUAACUUAAAACUUAUUAUUUAAUUCUUAUUUUAACUAUUAAGGUUGUUUGAUAAAAUUAAUUUAAAAUUAAUUUUAAAUCAUCAAAUCGACAUAUUUAUCCUCAUAAACGACAAAGAAGGUCGAGUAAUAAUAAAAGUUAUGAAGUAACAAAAGAAAUCGUGGAGGUAAGUAGGGUAAAUGAAGGUAAGUAGGGUAAAUGAAGGUAAAAUGGAAAAAUGAAAAUAUAGACUUAAGAAUAAAUUAAUUUUUACUUAUUACUUAAAGUUAUUUUUAACUUUAAGUCAUAUUAUUAAGUUAUUUUACCAAACAUCCUUAAUUUACUCAAUAGCUUGAAUUAAAUUAUUAAGUCACUAUAAGUUAUUAAAUUGGUUUACUAAAAACUCACUAAGUUAAAUAAAAACUUAUUUGAAAGUAAUUUGGGAAUAUUAAAAAGCAAACGAUUUUAGUGCAUGGAUAUACAAGGCAUUUGACCACAUUUUAGAAAUUAUUUUCAAACAUUUUAAAAAAUCACUUCAAGUAAAUUUUUACUAGUACUAAAUAGGUACUUCUUGUAUUGUACAAUAUAUUAUCACUCACAAUCAAACCCUAAUACCCCUUUAAGUAGCUCGCUUGAUUAUGCUUUGUCAAUUCAUGAAGAACAAGGUAAGGAAAGAAAAAAAAAAUGGUAAAAAAAAUGUUUUCCUUAUGUUUGGUUUUAUGAUGAAAAAUAUAAUUAAAUUAAAUUAAAUUAAUAAAAAUUUAUAUGUUUUCAAAGUAUUUAAUCUUUAUAUAGAAGAAAAAAAUUAAGUUAAAUGAGUUUGAAAUAACAUAUAAAAAUAGUUUAUUGACUUUAAUUUCUUUUCGACAUAUUUUCUCUCAAAUUUCUCAGGACCAAACAUAGCAUAAAUAUCAAAGUCUCACUAAACCUUUGGGUCAAAUCAUAGUCUAAAAAAAAAUAUCAAAACCUUGAUUCUUGAAGACAGUCUUCAAUGGCUAGUACUUUAUCCUCAUCCCUAUUAAUUAAUUAGCACUUCAACAAUGUGAAUAACAUAAUAUGUUAGGCCCCAAGAAAGCUUAACCACUCAUAUGGCUGAAUUUUCUUAGUUUCCAAACAAAAAAUUUUUGCCAAAAAAAAUCAAGAAUAGAUAUUAUUAACAACCUUAAUAACAAUAGUGACAUAUUGAACAAAGAAUACUAAACUUUGAAUUUUUGAUCCAUCUAAUCAAUGAUCUAAAAACCAAGUGAUUCUUCCAUCAAUGAUCUUAUCCCAAUCCUAGUUGAAGACGAUGGAAUGAAUUGAUCAUCUGAAGAAUAUGUGAAAUCCAAAAAAGAUUCAAAGAAAAAGAAAGAAAAGAAAAUAUAAGGUUUCUUAUUAUGAAUACUCUUGAAAAAUAGUUAUAAUACCAUUAAAGUUUAAAUAGGUCUAAUAAAAGGAAAUAAAAAUUAAUUUACCCUCAUUCCUAAAAAGAAAGAGAAUAGUUCUAAUAUAACUAAAUAAGGAUUAUUAUCCUUUUUAUUUUGGGAGAAUUAUCUUUUGGGGGUAGAUGGACCCCCAAAUUAACAAAAGGUCCAUAUAACUCUUCAAAUUGAGUUGAAGGAUAUGAAAUAGUAACGGACAAAUAUACCCUUUAAGAACACAUAUAAAAUAUUUUAUAAAAUUAAGUUAAAUAAUUUUUUUUCAAUAAUUGUUUUUUUCAAAAAUACUAAAUUAAAUAAAAAUAGUUUUCAAAAAUAUUAAAUUAAAUAAAUUUUUUAAAAUAUUAAAUUAAAUAAAUUUAUUUUUAAAAAUAUUAAAUUAAAUAAAUUUAUUUUUAAAAAAAUAUUAAAUUAAAUAAAAGUAUUUAAAAAAUAUUAAAUUACAUAAAAGUAUUUUUUAAAAGUAUUAAAUUAAAUAAAAAAUAUUAAAUUAAAUAAAAGUAUUUUUCAAAAAUAUUAAUUUUUUUUUCUCAAAAUCAACAAAUGACAUUUUUGGAAAUAGUGAAGGAUGAUAUCCUUCAACUCAAUUUCCAUACUUUCAUUGGGUCUUGGGCUCAAUUUGAAGAGUUACAUGAACCUUUUGUUAAUUUGGAGGCCCAUUUACCCCCAAAACAUAAUUCUCCCUUUUAUUUUAAUAAUAAUCUUGAUUUUAUGGAAAAACAUUAUGAAAUGACUAUUUUUUCAAGCAAUUAAUUAUUGCAUCUAACAUGAAUACAACCAACUAAGCUAAGCUCAUGUGUAAAUUGAUUUUGAAAAUAGUUUUCAAAUUGGAGAAACAUGUUAGACAAUUUUUUGAAAAUAUGUUAUUUAAAAAAAAAAAAUUUAAGGUAUUUUCAAUAAUUUUUUGUAGAAUAUUUUGAAUAACAAUUAGAAAUACGGGGAAUACUUUCGUAAUUUUUUUUACUAUGGAUAGUACCUUCAUGUUCUUGCUGAAUUCGAUCAAACUCAUGAAGCCAGUUUCUACUGCAGUCGAAUAUGUCAAGAUCACAUUGUGAGUAACAACCUCUGCUUCUCUACUCAUUUUACUAUCUAAAAUUUUUAGAUUGUUGAAGGAUUUUCAGGCUGUAUUUCUUGGAAUUAUUCCAGAACAUUACCAAGAAUGUAUAGUUAAUGUUAUUUACUUUUGUUUCUUGUAUUGUUUUUGAGGUGGAUUGUCUUUUGAAAAAUACACAUUGAAUUAGGUAACAGUUUAGAAUUGGGCCUGAUUCAAGAACUAUGGAAAUGUAUAUAAAAAUAUUCAAGGCUCGGCUUGGUUCUUGGCAACUAUAAGAUUAUGUUUGGUUCCUAAAAAAUUUGAGGGAAAAAUGUAAGGGAAAGAAAAUAAAGAAAAAAAAAAGUAGAAAGGAAGAAGUAAAGGAAAAUAAAAAUUAGGUUUAAAGUCAAUAAAUUAUUUUUAUAUAAUUCUUUGUGCUCAAUUAACUUAUUUCUCCCCAUCAUAUAAAAAUUACAUAAUAUAAAGAUAUAUGAAUUUUCAAAGAAUUUUAAUUAUAUUUGGUUUUCUUUUAUAUUUUUCAUGGUAAAAAAAAAAAAACCAUUUUCCUUGAUUUUUUUUCUUUUCUUAGUAUUUUUGUGGAAACCAAACAUAGUCUAAAUGAAAGAAUAUGAUUUUAUUGGUAUUUUUUGCUAACAUUUUUUUCUCCUGACUAGCUAAUGAUGAUUAUGAAACUUUCAAAAUUAGGGAAACAUUGAAUUACACUCAUGAAAAAAAAACCACUGGAUGUGUGGAUUUUUUUUAAUGGAAAAAUUGUAGAUACUUCGAUUGUAUUUGGUUUUGAAAAAUUCAAGGGAAAAUGAGUAGGAAAGAAAAUAGUGAGCAAAAGCAUAAGGAAACAAAAAGUGAAAGGAAAUAAAAAAUAAAUUUAAAGUCAAUAAAUUGUUUUUAUAUACUUUUUAAAACCUAUUUCACUUAUUUUCCUUUAUUAUAUAAAGAUUAAAUAAUUUAAAAAUUCAUAAAUCUCUAAUUAAUUUUAAUUAUAUAUGAUUUUUUUUUCGUGUUUUCCAUAAUGAAAUUAAUUAUAAGAAAAUCAUUUUUCUUAAAAGUUCUUUUCUUUUCUUAGUACUUUUUGGGAACCAAACAUAGCUUUCCUAUUUUUCUGCCUACUUGGUUAAAAAAUCGAUGUCUUGGGUUGCCCAUUGGCUAUAUCAUUACGGAUAGGGAAGGCCACUACUCAAAAUUGUAAGCUCUGAUCACAUUAUUACCACCAUUUCUACAAUCAUGUUGCUUAUUGAUCACUUGAGGUAACAAAUGCAUCUUGGGAGGGAAGGUGAUAGCCUAGUUGUAGAUAGGAGAAACAUCAAUAUAAACAAAUUAACAAAACAAAUAUAAAAAUAAAACAAUUCACACAUAAAAGCAAAUAAAGUUUUAAUGGGGUUCAGUCAAUCAUGACUACCUCCAUAGAUGAGAGCUAAUUGAUAACACUAUAAUACGAAAAAAAAAUAUAUAUUAUGACGUAAAUAAAUAUAACUAUUAGGUCUUGAAACAUCUUAUAUUUUCUCAUUCUUUAUAUUUCUAUCCUGAAGUAUGAGUUAUUUUACUCUAUCAUGUGUCUCUUAUUAUUCGUCCAAUUUUAAAAAAUUCCAAAAAUUCCCUUACCUAACUUCUCAAUUUUCUUUUAAAUUAUAAUCUAAAUUAAAUUAUUAAGGUUUGGUUUACUAGACACUCACAAAGUGUUCUACUUAAGUUGUAAGUUGUUCAAAAUUAGUGCAAUAAUAAAAUAAUAAAUACAAAUGCCUCAAUAUUUUCCUUUUUAAUCUUAUGAGCAGGGCUCAUCUUCUGUUUUGGGAUGGAACACAACUACUCAAUGCAGACACACUUCAGGAUGCUAUUUUUCUUCUAAUAGAACUGUCCCUAUAAAUUUUGUAUUCCUCUUCUACUUCAAUUCUUUUCCUUCUCCAUAAAGUGGGGAUCAUAGUUUUUGUCCAUCUUAAACAUGGUUCAAACUCGUGGUAUCGGUCAUUGACUCAGACGAUCUUGAGGCACAUUGAUCUCGAUGUAUCGGCUUGGUAUCGGAUGAUACACAAAAUAUGAUAAUUAGGAAGUUUUAAAAAUGAUAAAAAUAUUAUGUAAAUUAUUUAAAAAAUAGGUACAAGUAAAGAAGGUAAAAAAAUAAAAUAAAAUAAAAUAAUCUCAUAACUAACAUCAUUUAAAUAGUUAUAAAAGCAUUAACUGAUUUCCUAAUAUAAUUAAAAUUUACAUGAUAUAAUAAAUUAAAAAUAAUUCAAGUAUAAAUGUAAUCUUUAUAACUUAUAAAAAUAAUUAUUGAUUCUCUAAUAUAAACAUAUUAUUAAAAUGUUGUUUUUAUAAUUAUGAUUCUUUUAAAACUAUAUAUUUUUAAAUAAUUAUUGAUUUUCUACUUUAAUUUGGAAUGUUAUAAGACAAAAAAUUUAGAUUAUAUAAUAGAUUAAAAAUAUUCAAAUGUCAUCCAGGUUAUUCUCGUUAAAUCUCAUGGUGCAUAUAAAUCAUAACAUUCUAGUUUUACUUUACUUUCCCAAAUAUGGUUUUCAUUGUCCCAUGUCCACCUUACUGCAAGUUUGCAAACCCACGAUAGAAGCUCUCCCCGAAUGGUCGUUGUCAACGAAAAAAGGUAUCCAAUGCUUAAUCUAUUGAAAUCGACGCUGAUGAGUCACCAUCCAUCAGCCCUAAAACUCCCGUGCUCCAUCGAUUGUGGUGAGGUAAGUGAGCCCUCAUCUGUCUGAUCUCUCAUCUUCUAGACUUAAAAGGAAGUCACGACUUGGUUAAAUUUCAAUGUUUUUUCUUCCUUUGAUUUUUUUGGAAAAUUUUAUGAUCUUUAUGUUCUAAUUUGAAAGGGAAAAAAAAUCGCCAAUUUGAAUUAGAAAAUCUUUUGUAAUUUAACCAAUUCAACCAAGUUAACUCGGAAUUUGAGUCGAGCCAACUGAGUCCUAUCGAUUUAGUGCUGAGUUAGUGCAUAGGAUUGUACUUGGUAUCAGACUCGUUGCAGUAAGUGUCGAGGCGGAUACGACUCGACCAAUACUUUGAACCCUGAUCUUAACACCUUGGCCUGGGCCUUGGCUCUACUGAUUCGCUAUUGGAUCAGGAAGUGUGUUUGCAUUUCGUUGCUAUGUUCCAUCCUAAUACUGAAGAUGAGAUCUGCGCUUUGUUGGGCUUUGUGGAGCCUAGUUUUGUUUGAUCCGAUUUGACGACCCGACCCGAAUAAUAUUGCAUGACUUUUUAAUGAGAGAUUUAUUGAAGCCUGUUAGGCCCAUUUAGCCCAUUGUGGAACCACCUUUUGUAAUUAGGGUUUUUUAGUGUGGUGUGGUUGUCGUGUUAUAUAUAGAGAGAAAAUAUUGUAACUGCCGUGGUUGUACUCUGUAUUCUUCCCUGAUAAUAGUGAUAUCCUUGCAACUUCGUGGACGUAGGCAAAUUGCCGAACCACGUAAAUACUGUCUUGUGCGUGUAAUUGUUUUUCUUUGGCGUAUGUUUUCUCUAUUUUUUGUUUCUCACAGGUUGGGAAUUCGGUUUAAUUCCCUACAAUUGGUAUCAGAGCCUAGGGUUAGGUUUGAGUGGGAGCAAUGACAGAGGAAGCAGGAAAGACGUCUGGAAUAGAAAAGUUUGAUGGCACAGACUUUGCGUAUUGGAGGAUGCAGAUUGAAGAUUAUCUCUAUGGGAGGAAAUUGCAUCUGCCUCUUUUGGGGACAAAACCUGAGAGUAUGAAGGCCGAAGAAUGGGCGCUUCUUGACAGACAGGUUCUAGGAGUUAUUAGGUUAACUAUGUCUAGGUCUGUUGCACAUAAUGUUGUAAAGGAGAAGACCACAACAGAUUUGAUGAAGGCUUUGUCCGGUAUGUAUGAAAAGCCGUCCACAAACAAUAAGGUGCAUCUGAUGAAGAAAUUGUUCAAUUUGAAUAUGGCAGAUAAUGCAUCAGUAGCACAACAUCUGAAUGAAUUUAAUACAAUCACAAAUCAAUUGUCGUAUGUAGAAAUUGAUUUUGAUGAUGAGAUUCGUGCUCUGAUCGUCUUGGCUUCUUUGCCAAACAGUUGAGAGACAAUGAGGAUGACAGUAAGCAAUUCUAUGGGAAAGGAAAAGCUCAAGUACAAUGAUAUACGAGAUUUAAUUUUGGCUGAGGAGAUUUGCCGAAGAGAUGUAGGCAAAACCUCAGGAUCUGGUUCUGCCCUAAACCUUGAGACAAGAGGCAGAGGUAAUGACAAAAAUUCAAACCAAGGUAGAUCAAAAUCCAUAAAUUCUAAUCGGAAUAGAAGCAAAUCUAGAUCAGGCCAACAAGUACAAUGCUGAAACUGUGGGAAAACAGGUCACUUUAAAAGGCAAUGCAAAAGCCCUAAGAAGAAGAAUGAAGAUGAUUUUGCUAAUGUUGUAACAGAAGAGGUACAGGAUGCAUUACUUCUUGUAGUAGACAGUCCACUUGAUGAUUGGGUUUUGGAUUCAGGAGCUUUGUUUUAUACCACUCCACACCGAGAAAUCAUACAGAAUUAUGCUGUAGGUGAUUUUGGUAAGGUGUAUUUGGCUGAUGGUUUAGCCUUGGAAGUUGUGGGUCUGGGAGACGUCCGGAUAUUAUUGCCCAAUGGGUAUGUUUGGUUACUGGAGAAGGUUUGACAUAUUCCUGACCUGAGGAGGAAUAUGAUUUCUGUUGGACAACUUGAUGAUGAAGGACAUGCAAUACUAUUUGUUGGUGGUACUUGGAAAGUUACAAAGGGAGCUAGGGUAUUGGCUCGUGGAAAGAAGACUGGUACUCUAUAUAUGACCUCAUGUCCAAGAGACACAAUUGUAAUUGCUGAUGCAAGUACUGAUACAAGCCUAUGGCAUCGUAGACUAGGUCACAUGAGUGAGAAAGGGAUGAAGAUGCUGUUGUAAAAAAGAAAACUACCAGAAUUGAAGUCCAUUGAUUUUGACAUGUGUGAAAGUUGCAUCUUAGGAAAACAAAAAAAAGUGAGCUUCUUGAAAAUUGGCAGGACACCGAAGGCUGAAAAAUUGGAACUAGUACACACUGAUUUGUGGGGGCCUUCUCCGGUUGCAUCCCUUGGUGGUUCAAGGUACUACAUUACUUUUAUUGACUACUCAAACAGAAAGGUAUGAGUUUAUUUUCUGAAAAAUAAAUCUGAUGUAUUUGAAACUUUUAAGAAGUGGAAGGCCAUGGUUGAGACAGAAACAGGUUUGAAAGUAAAAUGUUUGAGGUCAGAUAAUGGAGGAGAGUACAAAGAUGGAGGGUUCAGUGAGUAUUGUGCUACAUAGGGAAUUAGGAUAGAGAAGACCAUUCCUGGGACACCACAACAGAAUGGUGUGGCUGAGCGUAUGAAUAGAACUCUCAAUGAGCGUGCUAGAAGUAUGAGGUUGCAUGCUGGACUACCAAAAAACUUUUUGGGCUGAUGCUGUUAGCACUGCAGCUUACCUGAUAAACCGAGGACCAUCAGUUCCCAUGGAGUUCAAACUUCCUGAGGAGGUUUGGAGCGGUAAAGAGGUAAAGUUUUCACAUUUAAAAGUUUUUUGUUAUGUUUCUUAUGUUCAUAUUGAUUCUGAUGCUGGUAGUAAACUUGAUGCAAAGUCAAAAAUAUGUUUUUUCAUUGGCUAUGGUGAUGAGAAAUUUGGCUAUAGGUUUUGGGAUGAACAAAACAGAAAAAUCAUCAGAAGUAGAAAUGUGAUAUUUAAUGAGUAGGUUAUGUACAAUGAUAGGUCAACUGUAGUGUUAGAUGUUAUAGAGAUAGAUCAAAAGAAAUCUGAGUUUGUCAACUUAGAUGAAUUGACUGAAAGUACUGUCCAAAAAGGGAGUGAAGAAGAUAAAGAGAAUGUAAAUUCACAGGUAGAUCUUAGUACACCUGUAGUUGAAGUUUGCAGAUCUUCUAGGAACAUUAGACUUCCGCAGCGUUAUUCACCUGUUUUAAAUUAUCUCCUUUUGACUGAUGGUGAUGAGCCAGAGUGUUAUGAUGAAGCCUUGCAAGAUGAGAAUUCAAACAAAUGGGAGUUAGCCAUGAAGAAUGAGAUGGAUUCCUUGUUGGGGAAUCAAACAUGAGAACUGACUGAAUUGCUAGUAGGAAAGAAGGCUUUGCACAACAAGUGGGUAUACAGAAUAAAGAAUAAGCAUGAUGGUAGCAAACGUUACAAGGCCAGAUUAGUUGUUAAAGGGGUCCAACAGAAGGAGGGCAUUGACUACACAGAGAUAUUUUCUCCAGUUGUAAAAAUGUCAACAAUCAGACUUGUACUGGGAAUGGUGGCUGUAGAAAACUUACAUCUUGAGCUGUUAGAUGUGAAGACAACAUUCCUUCAUGGUGACUUGGAGGAAGACCUUUACAUGAUUCAGCCAUAAGGGUUCAUUGUUCAGGGACAAGAGAAUCUAGUCUGCAAACUGAGAAAAAGCUUAUAUGGCCUUAAACAAGCUCCUAGACAGUGGUACAAGAAGUUUGACAGUUUUAUGCAUAGAAUUGAGUUCAAGAGAUGUGAAGCUGAUCACUGUUGUUAUGUUAAGUCUUUUGACAAUUCUUACAUCAUAUUACUGUUGUAUGUGGAUGAUAUGCUUAUUGCAGGGUUUGACAUUGAGAAGAUUAAUAUUCUAAAGAAACAAUUGUCCAAAUAGUUUGCAAUGAAGGAUUUGAGAGUUGCAAAGCAAAUCCUUGGUAUGAGAAUCAUUAGGGACAAGACUAAUGGUAUUUGAAGCUUUCACAGUCAGAGUAUGUGAAGAAAGUUCUCAGCAGGUUUAACAUGAAUGAAGCUAAACCAGUGAGCACACCCUUAGGUAGUCAUUUCAAACUAAACAAAGAACAGUCACCGAAGACAGAAGAAGAAAGGGACCAUAUGAGCAAGGUGCCCUAUGCCUCAACUAUUGGCAGUUUGAUGUAUGCUAUGGUGUGUACAAGGCCAGACAUUACACAUGCAGUGGGAGUUGUGAGCAGAUUCAUGAGUAGGCCUGGAAAACAGCAUUGGGAGGCAGUCAAGUGGAUUCUAAGAUAUCUAAAGGGUUCAUUAGAUACAUGUCUUUGCUUCACAGGUGCAAGUUUGAAACUGCAGGGUUAUGUAGAUGCUGAUUUUGCUGGUGAUAUUGAUAGUAGAAAGAGUACUACUGGGUUUGUUUUUACUCUAUGUGGUACAACUAUAUCAUGGGCUUCAAAUCUACAAAAGAUUGUUACUUUGUCUACUACAGAAGUUGAGUAUGUUACAACAACUGAAGCUGGAAAGGAGAUGAUUUGGCUACAUGGUUUCUUAGAUGAAUUGGGUAAGAAGUAGGAGAUGGGCAUUCUAUACAGUGACAAUCAAAGUGCAAUUUUUCUUGCCAAAAAUUCGGAUUUUCAUUCAAAGUCGAAACAUAUACAAACAAAAUACCACUUUAUCCGUUAUCUUGUUGAAGAUAAACUGGUAAUACUUAAGAAGAUUUGUGGAUCUAAGAACCCGACAGACAUGUUGACUAAGGGUGUCACUAUUGAGAAGUUGAAGCUGUGCGCAGCUUUAAUUGGUCUGCUAGCUUGAGGACAAGAGGAUGAGUUGCAGGGAUGAUGGAUUGUUUCUUGGAGGAUAGUGGUUUGAUGUUGGUGAUUGGACUAGUCUCUAAGUGGGAGAUUUGUUGGGCUUUGUGGAGCCUAGUUUUGUUUGAUCCAAUUUGACGACCUGACCCGAAUAAUAUUGCAUGACUUUUUAAUGGGAGAUUUACUGAGGCUUGUUAGGCCCAUUUAGCCCAUUGUGGAACCACAUUUUGUAAUUAGGGUUUUUUAGUGUGGUGUAGUUGCCGUGUUAUAUAUAGAGAGAAAAUAUUGUAGCCGCCGUGGUUGUACUCUGUAUUCUUCCCUGAUAAUAGUGAUAUCCUUGCAACUCCGUGGACGUAGGCAAAUUGACGAACCACGUAAAUACUGUCUUGUGCGUGUGAUUGUUUUUCUUGGGCGUGUGUUUUCUCUAUUUUUUUGUUUCUCACAGGUUGGGAAUUCGGUUUAAUUCCCUACACGCUUGGAUUCUUGAGUCGACACAUAAUAUUAAGGCUAUGUUUGGUUCUUGGAAAUUUAAAAUCAGAAAUAGAAAACUACUCUCAAUCUGAUUAAAGAACUAAUAUUCUUUCAAAGUAACAAGAAACCAUGUGAUGCCAUGUUUCAAAAGGCAACCCACCUCAAAAAAAAAAAAAAAAACAAGAAAUAGAAAUAAAUAGUAUUAGUUAUGAAUUCAUGGUAAUGUUCUUGAAUAAUUCCUAAGAAAUAAAGCCCGAAAAAACCCUUAAGAAUCUAAAGAUUUUAGACGCAAAGGCAUUCUUUCUUAGAAAUUUUUAGACAGUAAAAUGACUAGAGAAGCAGAGGUUACUCUAAGAGAAUUCUAGGGAUAAGGCCAUGAGAGCUUGGCAUAUGCGACAAAGAAGAAACUGGCUUUAGGAGUUUGAUCAGAUUCAACAAGAAACAACCUCUCCAUUGCGACUUUCCAAAAAACGAAGAGCUUGGUUUGAAGCUUCAACUUGGAGAGAAAGUUGAAGAGCUAUGGAAUUCAAGGUUGGUGAGACCAGAUGGCAGGAAAAUGGCAGAAAGGAAUUAAAAGUCGGAGUUGAAGAAAUUAAGGAAUGGUUGAAGAGUGGUUGAAUAGUAUUUUAAAGCAAGAAGGGAAGUCCUUUGGAAUUUAUACUAAAACUCUUAUUUCUAAAUUCAUACUAUAACCGUAAUUUGAAAUAGAGAAUUCUAAAUAAUUUAAAAAAUAAAAAAUGGAGAGGAUUAGUUUGGAAAAUAGUUUGCAAACACGCCUACAAUGUAGAUUUUAUUUGGUUUAAGGCCUAAUUUGACUCAAAAUUCCUAUUCUCGAGUGUGCACGACAUCAAUGCUUACAGUUGAAUGAAGAUUACAUAUUAUCGCAUUUCUUGAAUUCUAUCCCAAUGAUUAGGGUGAUGUAUGAUUAAGUAAGACCUAUACACGUUGAAGAAUAAACUCUUGUUGGCCAUGAGCAUUUCUAGUUCCUUCUCACUUAUUUCUUAAUUACAAAAUUAAUUAAUUUGUAUAAGCAUUUCCAACCUCUCUCUUUAAAAUUAUUUAUAACUUAAAAAUAAAAAACUAACUUAAAAAAAUAAAUGCUUGUUUGUGAAUAUUUUCGAAAACAAUUCUAAAAAAAUAGUUUUAUAUUGAACAUUUCUUAAAAAAUAGUUUUCAAUUUGUUUUAAGAAUAAAAUUUUAUUUGGGAACUCAAAUAUGAGAAAUAGGUAUGUCGACUCGUUCUCCAUGAAAGUACUAUCUAUAACACAAUUUUUUUGAAGAAUUCUCCAUAUUUUCAAUUGUUACUCAUAUUCUAAAAAAAAAAAAGAAGAAGAAUUAUUGAAAAUACCUAAAAUUUAUUUUUAAAAAAUAAUGUAUUGUCAAAAUAAAUUCUCAAAAAAUUGUCAACCAUGUUUCUUGAGUUCGAAAACUAUUUAAAAAAAACAAUAUUCAAAUAGUACCUUAGCUCUUGUAGUUGUGUUUGCAUUGUAUGCAGUAAUUAAUAGGUUGGAAAUAGGGUGGUUCCAUAAUGUUUUUCCAUAAAUCAAGAUAAAACAUCAAUUUUCAUGUUGUUUGACAAUCAUUCAAAAUAAGGUGAUGUUGCUCUCACAUUAAUAAUGAAACUCACUUUUAGAAAUCACUUUUUUUGCAUCUUAUUUACAUAAAGCAGACAUUUAAACAAGUAUAAUAGUGGAAUAUAGUUGGAUCCACGAAAGUAGUGUAUGAGAUUAAACUCUCUUCAAUAACAUUAUAGAUAAGAAAUUUCAUAAAAUUCAAUUUUACUCCGAUGAUAUCAGGUGAAACCCAAAAACAAAGAAAAAGGAAGAAAAGAAAAUAUAGGGUUUCUUAUCAUCAACACUCUUAAAAAAUAGGUACAACAUCGUUAAAGUUUAAAUACCUCUGAUCAAAGAAAUAGAAACUAAUUUACCCUUAUUCCUAAAAUAAAAAAAGAAUAAUUCUAAUAUAGUACAUUUACCGGGGAAAGAAAAUCUCAGUUCUACCAUACAUGUAGCAAUCAAGGCUCAUUGAUCAUGAACUUUGCCCUCCCUACCCAGCAAACCAAUAAACUCAACCGCAACCCUAACUGCAUUUGUAGCUGCCAAAGAAAAGAUUGAAGAUGAUAGUGUUCCUCCAUCCCCAGCUGUGUCCGAUAUGCCUCGAAAAACAACACUAGGCACUCCAUUGGACAUAGACGCCUGCACAUGAUAUCAACCAUUCCAAAGGUUAUAGAGCUGAAGCUAAUAAAGAAACCUAAGUCUGUUUGGUAAUUGUUUUUUAAAACAAAUAUUCAAAAAACAUGUUUAAGAACCAAAAAUAAAAAGCAUAGUGGUUUAAGAGAGCAUCGUUUAGGCCUUAUUUGAGAAAUGUUUUCAAAAACAGUUUUAAAAAACAAUUUUUGAAAAUUAUUCUAUGGUAUUUUAUAGAACAAAAGUCUCUUUGAAAUCUUGAAAUGUUUUUACUCUAUUUUCCAUAUUUUUAAAUAUGUUUAAAUGUCAUUUUCUAUAUUUAUAUAAUUAUUUUUUAAAACAGAAAGUCAUAAGAAAAUAAAUGGAAACAAUUGGAAACAAUUGAAAACAAAUAAAAUAUGUUUUAUGAAAAUAUUAUAUUUCUAUUUUUAAGAAUAGAAAAACGUUUUUUAUUUUUCUAGUUGUCAAACAUAUUUUCCUAUCUUUUUGUUUUGAAGAACAAAUAUUUGUUUUUUAAAAUGGUUGUCAAAGAGGCUUAGUUGUUUUUUGUUAUUUUCAUUCUAAUGACUAUUCAAAAAUAAUAAUAAUAUAAAUAUAAAGAAUGAUUAAAAAUAAUGCACUAAAUAUAUAAAAGUCAUUUUGAAAACAUAUUUAAGAGUAUGAAAAAUAGAUUAAAAACAUUUUAGUUUCCAAAUAGAAUUUUGUUAAAACAAUUUUUAAAAACUAUUCUCGAAAACUGAUUUUGAAAAUACUUCCCAAAUAUAACACUUGUUUUACCAUUACUACAGCAGCACUCUCCUCAUCCACAGUCGAGAUGUUUAAGGUCUUGAAAAGGAAUUCAUUGUAUGCUGCAUUAUCGACGAAUAUAUCUGCAGAAGAACCUCUCAAUCCGUAUGCAACUUUUGGUUUUUCCGAUAGGCAAUAUGUCUCAUUUAAGCACUGCUGCAAAUCCACUUCCUGGGAAAUGGAAAAUAGCAGUGAAUUCACUUGGAAACAGGCCUGAAUUCACCAUAAAUGGUAGUUCAAAUUAUCAAGCGAAAGUUUGAAGAGUUGAAGAAGAUGGUGAACCUGAAGUUGAGUGGCCAGGUUGAACCAUUUUGGAUCGGUUUCAAGCCAGAAGAGCUCUUGCAUUGGCCGACCGGUGGAGUAUAACUGCACCUGCGUAAACUCUAUUUCUGCCAAAAGGUUUUCUCCCUUGAUCGGUAAGUUGUAGUCCCCAAAUUUCAAUUCGGGUAAUGCUCCUUUCUUUGAUUUGAAUUUCUAUGCGUGACCAAACAUCAGUAUUCAGUUGGAAAAAUGUCAACCCUAAACCCGGCUGUAAACCCAAAACCCAAUCCAAUAUAAAAGAGAUGAAAUCCAAGAAUGGGGAAAGAGAAAUAUGUCCACAGUUCAAAACCAGUUCUAAUGGUUGAGGCUUUGACGCUUCCACUUCUAAGAACCUGUUAGAAGAAAGUUAGACCCCAUGCAUGCAAUGACCAAGAGAGAUGAAAUCCAAACAUUGAAAAAAGAAAAUAUGCCUGCAGUUUAAAACCAGUUCCAAUGCUUUAUCAUUUGGAUCCAGCUACCAUACCGAAAAACAUAAUCAAUCAAAUUGCACUAUAAUAUACUUGGUCACAUUGUUACAUGGUCUCGUUAUUUGGUGCCUUGGUUCAUUGUUUGUACCCUCAUUCAAUGAUUUAGAUUUUAUCAUACGCCUUAAAUAAGAGGCAAAAUUUGAUAGUUAUAGAGUUAGUAAACUUAGUUUUUUCCUCAUCAUUUUUUUUUUUAAAUAUCUCAAAACCAUGAACCCUAAAUCAAUAUUAGUACUAAAAAGUAAUGAAACAUUUUUUGAAAAAAUGUCCCUCAAUCCAAAAUAUAAAUUUAAACAAAAAGGGAAGUAUGUCUAUAUAUAGUUCAAAACCAGUCCUAAUGAUUAGUUAUUUUUUUAAAAUAUCAUAAAUAAACUCUAAACCCUAAAUUAUAAUCCUAACUAUUACAAUAAUAAAGAUCUAUGAAAUUCAAACAUUGGAAAAAUGGAUAUGCUUGUGGCUCAAACCAUUACUAAUAGUUGAUAUAAUAGUAGAGAGUGAUGAAAUCCAAAAAUUCUAAUAAUAAAGGAAUGUGCCUGCAAUUUCUUAGGUUGUUUUUGGUAUUUAAGCUAGUCAAAGUUUCUCACUAUAAGAAAUAUCACUUUUAGUCAUGUUUUAUAACUGUGACUUAAAAAGGUAAAAUUGUAGUUAAAACUUAUAGUCAUGGUUCUCUAAAACCGUGACUUUAAAAACACCAAAUGUGGUGUGACUAUGGCUUCUAGUCAUGGCUCUGUUCAUAAUUUUCAUUACUUGUUAGAAAAAUGCUGAACCUUAAACCCUAAUCGAUAGAAUAAUAAAAAGUUGGAAAAAUGAAAUACGCUUGCAUGUACUUCAAAACAAUUCUUGAUGGUUAAUCAUUUUUUGUGUUAAGUGAAGUUAAUUUCAGCUAAUACCUUCCAUUUCCAGGAACUUGUUUGGGCAACAUAUUUGGGGACACUAACGUCACCAAUGAGCAAGGAAUCAUUAGUGCUUCCAGCAAUCCCAUAAUGAACGAUUCCCACAACAUCAAAUGUGUCAAUAAGAAGUUGCACGGUUAUACCUGCAUUUAGCUGAAGGUACCAUAAAAAGGCAAAGUCACAACAAAAGUAUACGAUAAUUUAUGUGAGAAAAAUGAUGAUGAAUUAGGUAUUAUCAUCUGACCGGAUUUCAUUUAUUAUACAAGGAAAGUUUUACAAUGUUGGUGUCAUUGGAGUUUAGGGUUUAUUAAUGUGAGUUUGAUAUGCAUUACUCAAUUAUGGACCAAAUAAAUAAAAACCUUAGGAGAAUAAUAUUAGCAAUAUAUCUUGUUUCAUCAAACUUAUCAUGGGUCUACUUGAGAGUCAUUUUCAAAAAAAUACUUUCAAUAAAAAAUUAGGUGUUUAAAGAUCAUUUAAAAAAAAAAUUAAAGAAUGAAGUGAUUUUUGGAGCAACACUUAGAGUGCAUUUGAUAUUGAUUCUAGAAAACGUUUCUAGUCUUUCAAAUACUUGAAUGAUAAAAAUUUUAAAUAUUAAAAAUAUUAGAAACACUUUCUAAAAUCAUUAUCAAACGAACUUUUAAAGUGCGUUUGCCAGUUAUUCUAGGAAGUGUUUCUAGUAUCUUUAAUACUUGAAAGAUAAAAAUUUUUAAGUGUUAGAAAGACAGAAAUACUUCCUAAAAUUACUACCAAACGCAUUCUUAAUAUUGUUUGAUAUGGGACUAGAAGGUUUUAUUAUUUAAAUAAGGUUAUUAAUUUAUUGAAUAUUCCUUUGUUGAAGUUUUACUCUAAUUGGAAAAUCGACUCCAAAUAUGAUAAAUUAAUUCUAAAUCUUUCAAAAUCCUCCACAUAUUUCAAGUAAAGCAAUCAACUUAAUGAAUGACGCUUUUAAUUUUAUUAUUUUCCAUUUUUUAUUUAGCCAUAAGUGAGAUUUUUAAGAAAUUGAUAUAGGGUUUGCAAAUUCCACAACUUGUUUUCUUAAACAUGAAGUAGAACUUGAUGCAACUUUCUCGAGAGGAAGAGGACUAAGCAACCUGUUUAAAGAUCUAAGACUCUAAAAUGGUUGGGAAGUCAGUGGUCUUUAGGAUCUUAGGAUGGUUUGAAGGGUCAUGAUAAAGUGUUAAGAACUUAUUGGAAAGUUGAAUGGUAUGAAUAGGACCACAAGGAGAAGAAUAUUGGCAAAAAACAAUGUUUUUACUUCUUCUUCUAGUUCUACCUUAAUACUCCAAGGGAGUUUUCUGAUACUUGAAUUGUUAGAUGAUUCCUUGGAAUGCUUUAAAGAGCUCUAACAUCUCUUAGAAGAUCGGGUUAAUUAAUUUGGAGGUCUAAGUUGCACUUUAAGGUGCUAUGAUUUCAUGAAUCCUAUGAAAAUUCACGAGUCAGGAAAUUAUGAAUGAGGUUGUUUUCUCCUUUAAUAUAUUCCAUCUAAAAAAAAAAAUACUUAGAAUUCUUGCCCAUUGGCGAGACUAUGCUUAUAAGCUAUAUUUUUAAUAUCUUUUUGUGGAAUUAAUUGUGUUGAUUUGUAGUCAACAUAAACUAAAAACUUUUUAUUGAAAAGAUCAUCUUGAAAUUUUUAGAUGCACAAUGUUUAAAAUUUCUUUUUUGAUAGUGUUAUAAUUGAGUUAGGCUUUGUUCCAAAUCCUUGAGGUGAACUUUUCUAAUCUUUCCUUAUCAUCAUCAUUUUGCUUAAGAAUUCCACCAUAGCUUAUUUUUGAAGCAUUUGCUUUAACAAUCUUAAAGGCUUCAAGAUUAUGUAAGGCAUGACAAGGUCUUAACUUUAUCUUAAUGUUGCACAAAUAUGACUUAUGUCCAUGAAAAAUUCUAUAACAUAAUUAAAGCUUCUUAAGAAAUGUUGUAAUUGCUUCUUAUCCUUAAUAUCAGCAAAUUGAAUUGUUAUCUAAAUAGAAGUUAUAAAUCCUUGAUAAAUAUGACAACAUAAAAAUCUAAUCUUAGUCUAGAAAAGGUUGAUCUUAGAGGCUAAUAAACUUAAAUCAUUUUCCUUGAUAAUCUGGAUAAACUUAUUAAGAUGUUUCUCAUGUUUUUAUAUGGAUGAAACAAAUACUAAAACACCAUCAAUAUAAACAAUGAGAAUUUCUAUAUAUAUAUAAAAGAAAAAUUAAAGAUCUUAUUCAUUAUAUUUUAGAAUUCUAAGGGUGCAUUCUUAAAUUUGAAGGGCAUGACAUUCCAUUUAUAAGGUCCAAAAGGUAUGGUGAAAGCUAUCUUAUAAUGAUCCUUUUAAGCAAUUUGGAUUUGCCAAAAUCCUAAUUUUUAUAUCAAACUUACGAGAACAUCUAAGAUUUAACUAACCUUUGGAGAAGAUUUAGGAAUAGAACAUCUCAUUAAUCCAUCUUAAUGUGUCAUUAAGAGAUUUGUAAUUAAUUACAGGCCUAGGUGUUCUUCUUUCCAACACUACUUGUUUUUUUAACAUUAAAUGUAUAACAACUCCAUAGAUUUUCUUACUAAGUAGUUCUUGAAUUUCACUUUCGCAAUAUUUUAGUAAUUCUUGAUUUAUUUGAAUUGGGCUUGCCUUAGUGUGAAUAUCCUUUUCUCUAAAUUUUUUAUCAUAGGCCUAUACCAAAAUGUAUUUAGGGAAUUUUGAAAAGACUUCUUUAACCAAAUUUUCUUUAAAUCUUUUGAUGGCUUCUUGAUUCUUCCUAACAUUCAAAUGAUCCUCAAGAUUCUUAUUUCAAGUAAUCUUAUUUUUCACAAAAUUCAUUUACUAAUUACGAAAACAAUUUUAAUAAAAUUUUCCAUUUUCCAUUAGAAAUUAAGGAAUCAUGUAACAAAAAUCAUAUAUAAAAGCAAACACCCAAAAUGCUUCAUAUCAAUUUUGAAGUCAUGUAUUAACACAUUAUACAAUUUAAAAAUGUAUAAAAAAACCAAUUAAGUAAUUAAUUAUAUUAAAAUAGAGAAAAAAAAGGAAAUAUAUGAUCUUACCGUUUGCUCCCCGGACAUCACAUAAAUUACAUCUACACCCUUAAUCUUUCCAAUGUUGAAUCUCCUCCCUAAGCAUCCAAUACACCAAAAUUCAAAUCAUAUUAGGGUUAAGAAGGGUGAUUAGAAUCAAAUGGUUGCAUAAGAGAAUCAUUUUUUACAUAAGAUAUUAGGUACUAAUAAUUUCAAAUUGUAUUUAAAUUAAAAUUUUAAUACAAUGAGACUCAAUCUAGGAACACAACGCCAAGACCUAUUCUGGGCUAGCAUAGCCUAAUCCAUAUAGGUCCGCCCUAAAAAAUAGCCCAUUUCUCCGUUUACAAAGAGGCUGGCCUAAUUGAGGAAGUUAUGAACCUACCCAACUAUGGGCCGAAUUUAAGCUACCGAGAGUCGGAGACCCAAAUAAAGUGACUAACAAUGAAAGCUUCGGGUGCCCUAGUUAUAGGUCUAAAUUGGCCUAGAGAAUCCAAAUUAGGAACCCACGGCCCAAGAUACGGGCCUAGUUCAGGAUACCCAAACUAAGAACACUUUUGGGCUACGUCAGCCUGUCCAAGUCCAACUACUAUCUCUUUAGAAUUAGCCCAUUUCUCUAUCUACAACAUUCCUAGGCGCGAUUUGGAAUGCUUUUGUUUUUUCCUUUAACUAAAAGCUGAAACCAGAACCGAAGCCAUAAUUUUCAAAAAAGUAAAAGUUUUAUUAUUAAAUCUAAAUAACUUUAAGCAUAAGCUAAAAUCAAUUAUGGGCCUUGGGCCAAUUUCAGCACAUUCCAGUCUCAGACGCUGCCAUUAAACAGUCCAUUUGGACCCAAAACUGCCCCUAGAACGUUUAUACACAUGGCAUUCUUAGUCCAUUCAAUCAAAGAUGGAACACUUGGGGCUCCACAAAGCAUGGGCCACGUUUGGGCUGAGCCCAACCCAUAAAAGCCCAAGCACUACCCCAAAUAUACAAACGCUAUUCUAGUCAGUCCCAUCGUCACCCACUAUGUAAGAGACACAUCCCAACUAGAAAGAGUCUAGUUGCCACAGCUUAUGGGCCCAAUUUUGGGCAACGCAUAUUAUGGGCCUAACUUGGUCCAAGCCCAAAUGCUACUAACAACUCCUCCCUUGUUGGGAAUAAAAUUUAAAGCUAAAGAUAAAGCUAAAAUCACGAUUUUAAAGAAACAAUCUUAGUACUACUUUUCUAUUAAGUGCCCACUUUCAAGUUAAAAGCUCUUUCAUUAAAAUUACUUCAGAACAUAUCCAAAAACCCUUAUUGAGUUAAUACCCAUGCAAGUGAGCCACCCAAACUCUCCACAAGUCAUGGGCUUAGUUUGGGCAACUCAAAUUAUUGGCCCAAGCCCAUAAACCCCAUAUCCCCAAACUUCAACCAUCCAAUUGAAUCAAACAGGAAGAACCAUGGGAAGAGAGAGUGAGUGAGAGAGAGAAGUAGAGAAACAUACCAGCAAGUUGAACCAGAGGAAAAUCAGAGCUAGGAACAAAGAAACCAGAGACUUGAAGAGCAAUUUCUUCGGUGGGAUAAGUCAUUAAAAGCCCAACAAAAGGCCCAUUUCUCUCAUUCACUCUCUCCACAACCCCAUGGAGAUGGUGGCUUAGCUUCAGCUCCACUGUCUCCUCCACCAUCACCGCCACCACCAGCAACCCCACCAGAUCAACGGCCCACAGCCCCCAUCUCCACCCACCCACUACUCCUCCCCGCCCUCCGAUCAUCGAACUCCCUGCUGCUGAUGGUGAUCGGACGGCUGUGGAGGCUCCUGGAAAGAGGUAGACAGUGAAGGCUGGAGAGAAAGUUGGGAGGGCUGUGAUUGGUGGGUGUGGGAUUUGGUGUGCGACAUGGUAUCUUUUAAUGUUGUCCAUGUCCGGAGACCUGUUGGUAGAAACGUGCAUUUGCUAUUCCAUCACGUGACUUUAUAAUUGUCGGUACCACAUAUAUAUUGGAUUAAAUAUAAAUACUUUCAACAUUUUUUUUUUAUGAAAUAAAUUUAACUCAUGAGAUAGGUAUACAAAAAUUGAGAAAAUAUUUUUUUCCCAAUAAAAGGAAUAUAUUUUUCAUAUUUGUUUGGCAUUUUGGGAAGUGUUUUUAAAAAACGAUUUUGAAAACUAACUUUUUCAAAAUUAUUCUCAUAAACUUGAAAUAUUUGGAACCUCUUUUCUAUAUUUUAAUUGUUUUUUAAAUAUAGCUUUUUGCAUGUAAUAUUUUAUUUUUAAUCGGUCAUCAUAUUUAUAACAUUAUUUUUAAAAUUAAUUAUCAUGAGACAAUUGAAAAAUAAUAAAAAAAUGUUUUCAAAAAAUAAGUUAUUUUUGUUUUUAAAAAUAAAAAAUUAUUAUUUAUUUUUUAAUUGUCAAACAUAUAUAUUUUUUUCCUUAAUAUUUUUAAAUCUAAAGCUUAUUAUUUUAUUUAGGAAUUAUUUUUAUUCUUUAAAUAUCUAUUUAUAUUAAUUAUUAUCAAAAUUAUAUUUUCUUGCUUAUUUCUUUCCCUUAAUCAUAUCUUUUUUUUUUUGUUUUAUCACUUUUUUUUUAUUUAGUUAUCUACAAUGGCAUUUAAUAAAAUAAUCAUCUUUGUCUAAUCAAAUUCUUGAAAACAAAAAGAAAAAAAAAUUAGAAAAAGAAAUAAAGAAGAAGAAAAAAACAGGAAGAAAGAAAAAUAAAAAAUAUUUAAUAUUCAAAGACCAAUAUUGUUAGUUGCUUAUAAAAAUAAUAAAUUAAAUAUAAAAGGCAUAUAUAAAUUUAUAAAUAUAAUUAUAAAUAUUUUAAAAUAGAAAAAUAAUUAUACAUAUGUCAUAAAGUAGAUAAAUUAUCAUUUUAGUAUUAAAUGUAUUUUUUUAAUUCUAUAUAUUAUUAUGAAAUACUACAAACUAUAUUAUUCAUAUAUUUAAAUUUGAUUAAAUAAUUUUAAUAUAUGUAUUGUGUUGCUUCUUUUAUUUUGCCUUGUUAUGAUUAUUAUCUCCAUUAAGAUGAUAUUUUUUCAAUCCACUAGUUUCAUGAAACCACAUUGAUCUUAAUUUUAAUAGUAAAAGAAACUAUUACAAGACAAUAUGUAUAAAUUAUUGACACGAUAUUUAAUGAAAUCAAAUGCUUAAUAUUAAGUAUAUACUUCACAAAAUUUAUAUUUCUUAUAAACACACAAGAUAUUAUUAUCAAAUAUCACAUAUUAUAUCCCACAUAAUAUCAAUUUUUUUUUUGUCAAAACAACUUUAAUAAAUGUAUUAUUAUUUUUAUCUAUCAUUUUUUUAAAGUUUUUUUUUUUCAAUAUUUUUAUGAUUUUUGAUCCAUUUAUUUGUCAUCUAAAUUUUUGUCAUAAUUUUCACUAAUAUUUUCAAAUAUAUAAUAAUAUAUUUGUAAAAUUCAAUACUAAUAUAUCUGUAAAAACUGAUAUUUUUAUCAUUAAUAAUUUUAAGAUUGUAGUUAUUUUAAAUUUUAUUCUUAAAAUUAUUAUCUUAAAAUUGAAUGCUUUCCAUUUGAAGUCAACAUUUCAUUUUAACCACUCUUUUAUAUCUUCAUUAUAAAAAAAUUGCAACAUAAUCUUAAAUAUUAUGUUAAUAAUUAUUACUCAAUAUAUAUAUAUACUUAGAUGGUUCAACUUUGUCAUUCCAAAUGGGGCUACUAAACAAAAUUAUCAUCAUCAUCAUCAAUAUCAUAAAAAAAUGUCGAUAAUAAUUGAGUAAAAAUAAACUUAAGCACAACAUCUGAUAGGAUCUAAUGUGAAAAUUAGGUUUAGACCUGGCAUUAGAAUCAUUUGAACUGAUCAUGUUGGAUGUAUUACAACAUCGGACAUCAAGAACUAUAAAUCUCAGAUGCAGUAGCCAACCAUUACCAAAGCUUCCACUCGCCUGGCAGAUCUUGGACGACCACUCGAGCACACUUAACCAUUACUCAAGCAUCUGAGGCGCUUGUGCGUUGGAUAAGCGCUUGAGCAGUUCCAACGCUCAAGUGUCCUUUGUUUUUCUCAAACAUCAAUUUAAGCAUUUUUUUGUUCAUAGAAAAAAUAUCAAUCCACUUUAACCCUUCAAUAACCUAAUUUGCCACUAAACAAACCUUUUUAAACUUACUUGUGAUUUUUCGGUUGAAUCAACAACAACCUUGAAUAUUCAAUAGAGAGUAAGUCACUGUCUACAAAGUUUUCUAAGCCAUGAUAAAUAGGAACAAAAUUGCCAACAAACAAAAAUAAGACUCAAUGUCCUAAUAAUCUCUCUUUGGUAAUUUUGUGAUAAAACACCGUUACAUAAACUCCCUAAUACUCUCAAAUAGAGUUUACAUAACACUCAAUUACUCUAUACUAAGCCUAAACAUUCAAACAUAUGUUGAUACUCUCAUAAUACAUCAUGAUUUGGUACACUUUUUCAAUACUUGUAAUUUGCACACACUAAAACAUAAAUACUCAGGGUAAAGAAGUGUGUGGGAGAAAUAAAUAAAUCUAAUAAUGUAAUCAAGAUAUAGUGAUAGAGAAUCACUUAGGCAAAUCGAAUUGUUGCCUAAAAAGGAUAGCAUGAAUGAAGCUAGCCACGACAUUGAAUCUGAGUAUGAUAGGACAAAGGGUAGAAAGAAUACGACAAAUAUGUAGCAAUGACCUAAGUUGACUUGGUGAAGUUAGUAAUGGAAACAUAAGUCGACAAUGGAUGAGACUUUCCAUACAAAGUGGCAAGAAUAGAGGCAAGCUCACCUUUAGUGACUGCAUGAACAUUUAGAGAAAAGUUUGGAAGCUGACCAACAAAAAGAGGCGUGCCUAGUACACGCCUUAUAGACAAAGUACGUAGAGGCCAUGAAGGUUUGGCCAUACAUAGUAACUUGAAACAUGAGACCACUAACUACCAAAUAGAUGUUCGAAUAGAAUAUGAAAACGUAACGAGGAUAUGGAGUCCCUCAAAUAGUUAUAAGAGUCUCUUAGCCCUUAGCAUGAAAGAGAGUAGGGAGAGAGGUGUCCUGAAAAGCCCUAAGGUCAAUAGGGAGCUCUACCUUGACUCGGCGACCUCAAAGGACAAAAUAGUAUUCAUCACAAUCCUUCUCUAAGUGAAAACACUCUAAGAGAAAAUCAUCUAGGUUGAAAGGACCUUAAAUGGGAAUGCCAUGUAUAGGCUCAAGAGAUGGAGGCAUGGGAAGAGUCACCUCCUUGGGACGACAAUGUUUUGCCAUACUACUAAUACUAAGAAAAUAUAAUAACAUGAAAAUUGAGAAAAAUACCUUAAGAAACUAAACCACUAGAAAUGCUCAAACGAUAGCCCUAAACAAUAGUAUAAAGACGAAAAAACGAAAUAGGACAUGAACUGACCAUGAGAAGACGAAGAUAAAAAACCUAGGGCACUCAACCGAACUAGAAAGAAGAUAAUGAAGAAAAUGGCACACUGGAGUGCAUUAUAUAGGUGCUUGGGCUGUUGGAUGCAAGAUUAGUGUUCGAGUAGUUUAAGUGCUGGAUAUAACUUAAGAAGCACUCAAGCGCUCAUAUCACAUGAAGCAGUGCUAGAAGCAACUUAUGGACGCUCAAGCGCUUUGAGUGCUGGUAUUGAGUGCUCGAUUGAUGAAAGGAGCACUUAAACGCUAAGAUAAGUGUUGAAGUCUGAUACAAUAAAUGAAAUGAAGAAAAAUAUGAAAAAUGGAUAGAAUACUCAAAGCUUUACAAAACAGACAUUGAAAUAACAAGUAAUUGGCAGACUUAAAAAUAAUGAGAACAAUUUGAAAAUCAUCUCAGGGCAUGAUUUAAUCCAAAGAACUUACAUAAUUUAAGAGAGUAGUAAUAAUUCAAGUAGAAAGCCUAGAGAAUAUAAUUCAAUCAAUGGAUACUCAUAGUACUAUGCUUAACGCCAUAAUCACUAAGCAUCUGUUUCAUCCAAAAGAGUUGGGUACAACAACUCCCUACAACAAUCCAUUCGGCUUUUAUAAUGGACAAAGAUAUUAAAUUUUGCUUCUUACUUAGCCAAGUGACUAAACAAUUCCCGACAAAGAAACAAGCACAAUAAGUGUUUUUCCUAUGCUUUAUGUUUCCAAUCCAAUCACCAUUGAAAUAUCUAACAAUAACACAAGAGGAACACCAUAACCCAUAAUUUAAAGUCCCGCUAAUGUAGCGAAUGAUUCUUUUAACAAAAGUUAAGUGUAACUCUUUGGGAUUUUCUUAGUACCUAGCAUAAGUGUUCACACUAAAAGAAAUGUUUGGACGACUCACAAUGAGGUAUAACAAACUUCUUAUAAUACUCCUAUAAAGCUUUUGCUCAACAUCUUUUCCAGAUGUGUCCUUGCAAAACUUAGUAGUAGUGCCCAUGCUUGUCCUAGAGUGCUUGGUGGAUUCAAGGCCAAUUUUCUUUACCAACUCCCUAGUAUAUUUAGAUUGAAACAAAAAAAUGUCAUCUUUAAGUUGCCUAAUCUACAAUUCUAAGGAGAAAUUGAGUCCACCUACCAUAUUCAUUUUGAACUCUUUUUCCAUUUCCUCAGCAAAAUUAAGGGUAAAGUCACUUGAGUGGGGUCCAAAAACUAUAUUAUCAACAUAAAUAUGAGUUAUUAAUAGUUUGACUUAGACCUAUGAAUGAAAAGAGUUCUAUCAACUCCCCAUCUCUCAAAACCUUUUUUCAAAAGGUAAGUUGUAAGCCUCUCAUACCAAGCCUCUCAUAUUUACAAAAGAAUGAUUCCAAUGAUUUUAGUUAAUUUGAUCAUUAAGAAAAACGAGUUCAGUUUUAUUAUUAAGAAAAAUGAUUUUAGUUUUAUUAUUAUUAUUAAAAAAAUCAUCUCAAUAUUCCUUAAAAAAUGUUUCAGCUUACAUUAAAAAAAGAGUUCAAUUAAAGAAAAAACAAAAAAAAUGAUUUCAAAUUUUAUUUUAUUUACAAGUUUGCUGAUUAAAAUAAUAUAUAAAAAAGAUGAUUGAUAAAAUCAAACUGGUACGUAAUAGAAAUAAACAUAUAAUAAUAAUAAUAAUAAUAAUAAUAAUAAUAAUAUGAUGAUGAUGAUGAAUCAAUGGAGUUAAAUAAAUCAAUGUGGCCAAUCCAAAGCAAGAAAACAAGUAACUAUACGCUAACCCAUAAUCCAAACGAAGGUCAAAUACAACAAAGACCAAUUUACGAGUGAAUGCCAUGUGGUCGGUAGCUUAUCUCCGAUUAGAACAAAAGAUGGAGACAUGGAUAUGCACCAUUUCCGUUUGGCGUCGGUUUGGCUUCAAAGGGUGCUUCCUGUGCACCUGAACUAGCUUAUCUACGAUUAGAACCAAAAGGUGAUGGAGACAUGGCUGCACCAUUUCCGUUGGCAUCGGUUUGACUUCAAAGGGCGUUUCUUGUGUACUUGAAGAUGGAAAAUAUAAAUUUAUUAGAAACUUACUUUUCAUCAACAGUGUUUCGUCUUGAGGUCCACCUUUUCAAUUCUACUUCAUAAUGCUUGGUUGGUGCUAGUGAGAAAAUUUGGACUCAAACUGAACUAGGCACAUCCCCCUAAGUCCAAAGGGUGGUUCAGUUCAUACAAGAAAAUAAUUUUUACAACUCUUAUUUGAAAAUUUAUUUUUACAAUUUGAAAAUUUAUUUAUGUAAUACAAAUAAACAUAAAAUAAUAAUAAUAAUAAUAAUAAUAUGACAAAUCUAUAGUUGAUGGCCUAUUUGAAAUAAGGAUGAAAAUAUCGGUAAUCAUGGAUAUAUCGGUAACUUGAUUUUAUGGAUAUAUUGGAUAUAUCGGAGAAAUAUCGAUGAAUAUUUUGAAAAAAAAUUUUUGUAAGCAAAAAAUUGAUCAAAACUCAUGGAAAUGUAAAAAAAAACCUUGUAUUAAUAUAAUUAAAAGUAUAAUAGACAAUUUAAAGUUGUUUUGGUGAAGAAUUUGAUAUAUAUAGAUAUAUAUAAUAUGAUUUGCGAUAUUAUACAUAAUUAUAUUAUAUCAGUUGUACUUAUACACUCAUUAUGAAGUUUCAUAAAAAACUUAUUUUAGUAAAUAUCAAUAAUUUAUACAUAUUAUUAUAUAGCUUGAGGUUCAAUUCUGACCAUUGGAUCACAUCCAGUUUUAAUUUGAACCAUAGAUACACAAGGAUCAAAAUUGAAAUAUCAAUAAAAUAUUUUAUUUGAGAUUUAAUUUCUAAAAUUUUAUUAAAAAUACGUGAUAAUAACUUUUUUUUUAUUAAUAUUAAUUUAUUUAAAUAAUUAAAAUUAUUAAUAAUUUAUCUUAUUAAAUUAAUUUUUAAUUUAUAAAAUAUAUCGAUAAAAAAUGGAAAUUUUAAUCCAUGGUUGUGAUUUAAUAAAAAUAAAGAUGAAUAAUUAAUAAUUAUUUAUAUAGAGAGUGGAAAAUUGUUCUCAUGAUAUGUUUCUUCUUCUUUUUUAAUCCCUACUAAAUCUAAAAAUAAAAUGGGCCACCCACUUCUCUCACUCGGCAUCAAGAAGCCCUUUUUCUGGAGUUGCCCUCCAAACGAGAGAAUCCCUAAUAAGGCCCUAUUUUCCGCCGCCACUCUCAAUCCUCCCAGGUACUAAUCUAAUCUUGUUAUUUAUUUUUAUUUUUCUGCAACCCCGUUUGAUUCCCAAGAAAAUCCAUCCCCCAUUCGUUUUCCGGGAAAGUUCAUCCUCGUUUGAUUUCCGAGCAAAUCCAUGCAAAACCCCCAAGGAAAACCAGAAAGAUUGCUUUUUUUUUUUUGCUUCCUGUGUUUUCUGGAUCUGUUCUAGUGGUCGCUUUGCUUUUGUGCCAUUGGAUUUAAAUUUCACGAACCCUAAAUCCACGAUUUUUGAGCCAGGUUAAAAAACACAACCUUUGCCUGCAAAUCAUGAUUAGAUUUUGUAUCUUGUGCGCGGGCUGGACUGGUAGGAAAUAUCGGGAAAUUUCCCGAAAAAUCUGAAAUAAAAUCGGCGAUACAAACCGAAAAUUCGCCGAUAAAUUGCAGUAUCCGACGAUUUUUGGAAGAUUUUGCCGAUUUUUCGCCUGCAUCCAUUUUUCGGCGGUUUUUUCGCCGACUUUAACCGAAAUUUGGCGAAAUUUCUCCCAUCGACAUUUCGCCCCCCUCUUUCGUAUCGCCGGCCACCGAAACCCAAAAUUUUGGCGAAAAAAGUGGAAACUUUCAUCCUUGAUUUGGAAAAGGUGCUUGAUGGAGGAAUGCACCAUCGUCUUCCGUUGCCGCAUGCCCAUUUCCGUUUGGCAUUUUGAAACUUUAUGUUUCGACAGCUCAAACGGAACUAAAGGCAGAUCCCCUCAAGUCCGAUGGUGGAAAAGGUGCUUGAUGGAGGGAUGCACUACCGUUUUCCGUUUGUCAUUCGGCCGCAUGCCCAUUUCCGUUUGGCAUUUGGCUUCAAACAAACUGAGCUUAUUUUUCGUCAACUCAAACGGGAACUAAAGGCAGAUCCCCUCAAGUCCGAUGGGGUGGUUCAGUUUGUCUCACUGCUAUAAAUAAUACACCACCUGAAGCUUAGCCAUUCACAAUAUUAUUUCUUCAAGCUCAGUCAUUGUAAUGUUUCUUUAUUUAUUUGUUUGUUUUCUUGUUGUAUAUUUCAUGGAAGCAGCUUUAUUGGGUUUCUUCCUUCUUUGCAGGGAAAUUCAUAAUGGCAAGAACACAGCAGAAGAAAUCGCUAUGGACCCCAGAAGAAGACGAUAAGCUCAAAGAAUUUAGGCACAAAUACCCCAAUCUAUCUUGGCCAGCUAUCGCAAAGCAGGCAGAGCUGAACAGGACUGGUAAGAGUUGUUGGGAGAGUUGGGAGAACAAUCUGAAUCCUGAUAUCAACAAAGGGGAAUUCUCCCCACAGGAAGAUGAACUCAUCAUCCCGCUAAAGAGCGCCGGUGUGAGGUAAUGAGAAUCAUCCUCAUAUUUUUCCAUUAUCAUAUGAUAUGAUAUAAUAGUGUGGUGAUCAGCUUGAGUCUGAGGUGGAGUUCCUGUGUUGUGUUGCUUGCAGCUGGGCAUCUAUGGCAAAAAAUGAUCUUCGUGGGCGAGCUCCUAAUGCUAUCAAGAACCGGUGGAACAACCACUUAAAGAAGAGGCAUGCGAUUAUAAGUGACCUUAGGCGACACCUCCUCUACCUAGAGGAACACCUCAUGGAUGAUAAGGCUAGUGAUUACUCUGUCCGGGGAGGUGACCUUAAGGCUUUGAUGGCUGAGUUUGCUUCUUUGAUUCCCAACGUUGAUCCAAAUGAGACUAGUGAUCACUCUAUCCGGGGAGAUGACCUUGAGGCUUUGAUGGCCAAGUUUGCUUCUUUGAUUCCCAAUGUUGACCCAAAUGAGAGUAGUGAUCACUCUAUCCGGGAAGAUGACCUUGAGGCUUUGAUGGCCAAGUUUGCUUCUUUGAUUCCCAACGUUGAUGCAAAUGAGACUAGUGAUCGCUCUAUCCGGGGAGAUGACCUUGAGGCUUUGAUGGCCAAGUUUGCUUCUUUGAUUCCCAAUGUUGACCCAAAUGAAAGUAGUGAUCACUCUAUCCGGGAAGAUGACCUUGAGGCUUUGAUGGCCAAGUUUGCUUCUUUGAUUCCCAACGUUGAUCCAAAUGAGACUAGUGAUCACUCUAUCCGGGGAGAUGACCUUGAGGCUUUGAUGGCCAAGUUUGCUUCUUUGAUUCCCAACGUUGAUCCAAAUGAGACUAGUGAUCACUCUAUCCGGGGAGAUGACCUUGAGGCUUUGAUGGCCAAGUUUGCUUCUUUGAUUCCCAACGUUGAUCCAAGUGCAAUUAGUUCGAUUCCUGAAUACACCAGCUGAAGAAAUCGCCAAGUUAAAGUGUAAUGAGAGUCCAAAGUACUAUGUCUUUGAGUGUCCUAUAUAUGUAUAUAUAUGUUUGCUGCUAAAUCAAGCAUCAUCUUCACGAUGCAGCAUAUAAUAAAGCUGUGUGUAUUGUAUUAAACUGAUGGUUUUGUACGUUGAUUUCUGAGUAUUGAGCACUGUUCUCAUAUGCUAAUACUAAAUCCCUCUCAUCAUCAUCUACUGCAUCAACUCUAUACUCCAAUCUUCUUACCUUAACUAUUAAUUAACUCCACCAUUUCAAUGGGUUUAUGUGUGAAAAUCAAAAUUUAACUAAUAUUAUUCUUCCAUGCAGCAUGCUUGAAAAUUAUUUAUUUUUGAAUUCCCAUAUUAUAUUAUGCAGCUCAUAACCACUUCCAAGAUUAAGUCCUAAGCCAAGAGUAAUGAUUUGAAUUAAUUGAAAAUUUAUUGAAAUAAGGAAAAAAAAAAAAAAAACAGGAGCAAGAGGAUGAAUGGAGAGUUUUUAUUUUAAAUAUCUAAUUAAAAUGCUUUCGUAUUUAUAAAUUGAUUAUAUCAAUACAUAGUAUAAUAGAGAUUGAAUUUUUCUCAUAUAAAAGGGUUGAAUGAUAUAUUUACUCAUUUUAAAUGAAAACAAGUAGUUAAAAAUUAUAUAAAUUAUGUUUGAGUUUGGUUUUAAAAUAUUUUUCUAGUUUUUAUUUAAAAAAUAUUUUUUAUUUUCUAUAUUGUCUCUUCUUGAAAAUACGUUUAAUUAAAAAAUGAAAAUUAUUUUUAAAAAUGAAAAUUGAAAACCUUGUUUAAUAC
rnacentral:lncRNA from 1 species